UGGGAGGGACUCUGCUCCCCCAGCCCACCUAGAGGUUCAGAGACUUGAGAGAUGUGGGAAGCCUGACUGCCACUGAAGACUGAGGCAAAUAAGUUGUUAAGAUGUGAUAUUAGUU